rnacentral:lncRNA from 1 species
GGGGGGCCGGUUAUUCUUCCUCAGCCGGGCGGGAUUAGGGAGGCCAUGGGCCUCGGGAGAUUGUUGGGCCGCCUGGGGGAGCUGGGCUCCUGCUUCCCUUGUCGCGACGUGGGCCAAUGGCUAAACACUGGCGUGCUGCCAGGCUGAUCUGCCGGGAGGUAGCCGGGGGGAGUCGAGCUCCCCUCGCGCUGCCUUUCUUCUUUUUUUUUACCCUCUUGACGAUUGAGUUUUUUGCGACGUAGAUUUUCCCUAGUUGCUUUUUUUUUGCAACUUGUACUAAUCUUUUGGCGCCUUCUUGU